rnacentral:tRNA from 1 species
UUAAAUGAAGCAUUGAAAAUGCAUUUAACUGUUAAUUAAAAGAAACUUAUUUAAUAAGCAUUUAAA